ensembl:snRNA U6 U6 spliceosomal RNA
UUAGUAUAUACAGCAGAUAUACUAAAAUUGGAAUGAUGCAGAGAUUAGCAUAAAGCCUGUGCGCAGAUGACAUGCAAAUUUCUGAAGAGUUCCAUACUUUU